UGUUAUUUUUCAAACCUUCCAAAGUUGCAACGUUUUUAACCUUCAAAACUCGAUCAUUGAUGUUUCUAAGAGUCCUUCGCUUAAGGAUUUCACAGGGGAAAAUCCAUCCGAACAUUGAUGUUUUUGAGAAUUUGAAUCAUUCAAUUUGGCACAGUAAUUCCAUCCCUCACUGAUUAAUACAUCUCUAAACCCUUUGUUUCUUUUCUACUUUCAUUUUCUUUUUAGAUUUUAUUUCAUCAAUUAAAUUCUAAUUUCCUUUGUUAAUUUGUCUUGGAUCUUGGGUUUCUUUAUCGAGCAAUAAUUCAAAAAGAAAAUUGCUUCAGAAAACAAA